GGCAGUGCGGUUUAGCGGUUAGAGCGCCGGGCUAGGACCUGGGAGAUCAGGGUUCAAAACGCGCCUGGCACCCGGCUA